rnacentral:misc_RNA from 1 species
CGCCGCUGCCUUUUCAGUUUGCCAAGUGGUUCGCACGUACCGCUUCGUUGGUGCGCUCUGGCUCUCUCACCGCUCGUCACCGGCACACGAGUUCACGGGUACAUCUGGAGAGUGGCAACGUACGUGAUGAACCCCCUGUCGACGCGGCGCCUUGGGGGCAUUGCGACCCCCGGCUCGGCACUUUCGGGUACCUGCUACGUGAGCCACACCACAAGGCCAGCCCGCACUAUGUGCUGGAUGAAGCUGGCGGUCUUCACGCAGUUCCCGGUCGUCCCAUCGCUGGCCGGCACGCAGGUGCAGGGCCGCCAGGACUUGCUCGCCUCUACCGCCGGCGCCGGCACCCCCGAGGAAACAAGCUUGUUUCUUCAGAUCGAGCUCUUCGACGACGAGUGCCCGCAGCUCUGCGCGAAUUUCCGCCGCCUCUGCAACGGGCAGUCGACAACGCGGCAGGGACAGGUGUACUGCUACCAAGGCCUCACCCCAAGCUACUGCGGCACGUAUUUCCACAAGAUCAUACCCUCUUACUGCGUCCAGGGGGGUGACAUCACCAUGCGCGUGAAGCCUGGCGGCACGAACAGCUACAGCAGCGCUGGCCGCACUUGGCUUCCGGAUGAGUUCAAGAAACGACGCCAUAACGAAAUCGGGCUCGUUUCCAUGGCGAACAACGGUCCCAACUCGAACGGGUCACAGUUCUUCAUCACCACCUCGGCGGCGCAUGAGCGCGCCUUCAACGGCCGCCACUGCUGCAUCGGUCGUGUUGUGCACGGCCUUGACGCCUUCAUAGCGCUCGUCGCCCCAUUCGGCAACGUCGAGGGGCAUCCGUCCAAGUACGCGGUGGUAGUGGACUGUGGCGAAGGAGAGGCGCCGACGCUGAUGUCGGCAUCGUCGUCGCCCGCUGCAGUAUCCCAGGCGUCGAUGGCGAUAUCAGAGACGGAGACGGCGCGGUCGUCUCCUGCAGCCGACACGCGGUCCGCGACCGUCGAAGAAGCGCCUGCAGAGCUGGACAUACAUUACCGUGAGCAGCCGCCGCAACUCCAGCUGCAGCAUCACCAAGCCGCGGAUGGCACCGGUGUGAUGGCGGCCCUGUCCCCGUCCGGAGCCGCUGCAGCCGCGGCGCCCCCCUCCAUCUCCCCUGCGCAGCCGCUGAAGAGCUCCUUAAAGGGAAAAACGACGGCGGCGUCGGAGGCAGCCAAGACGCAUGCGAAGCAUGUAACGUAUCAGCUGUGAGGCGAAGCAACCGCAGCAGCGACCGUGUCGGGUGGGCCCCGUGUCUCCCGUCCUUCGUGCAUGGCCCCUUCUCGCCUGUUUGUUUUCUCUUCCCCACUCACCCCGUCUCCUUCUCUCAUGCUCUGCAUGCAGCGAGGACAUGUACAGUUGCGCAGCGGUGGAACGCCCUUUGCCCUCCAGUGAGCGUGUGCUCGUCUGUGUGUCUGCGCCCAUGGAUGUGCGUGUUCGCCCCGCGUGAGGGUCGCGUUGGCGUGGAGUUGCCAGGGACAUCGAGUCGAUCGCCUUGCGUGAUCUGGCUUACUCUCACGGAUAGAGCGAGAGCGAGAGAGCACACGCAAGCCCCAGGCGGCAUCAUGGCGCACAGCCGUCGAUCAUGUAUCCACCCCAAAAGCAGGAGAGCCACCAAAGCCGCACACGCAACCUCUCAAAGGCAGCCGAGGCACACACGUGCCCUCCCUCCCGCUUUGUUGGGGGGUGUCCUCAAGUCAGUAGCGGCAGCAGCAGUGCCCCACCCACCCAUCCACCCACCAUCUUGCUUCCCCUCCCUCUCGAGUCGCGGCGGGUAGGGUGGGUGUGUGUAUGUGUACGCAUGUGCGCGUGUACGACGGCACGCGACGGCAUCGCCGCCCAUCCUCACUCCCCUCUCUCUCUCUCUCUGUGCGUCUGAAGUGUCUUUCUCUACCCGCAACCCCCAUCCCUCCCCCCCCCCACACACACACACACCGCCAUCACGAUCUUGCAG